AUAAAAAAUGUUUGUUAUUAAAAAAAAUGUAUGCAGAGAAGAUCAGCAUGGUCCCAGCCCAAGAAUAACACACAAAUUUGUCAAGUGUUCCAUAUUGAA
ensembl:snRNA U6 U6 spliceosomal RNA